AGUGAACGCUGGCGGUAGGCCUAACACAUGCAAGUCGAACGGCUGCACGGUACGUGCUCGUGGUUACAGGUGCGGAGUGGUGAGUGAUUGCUAAGAAUCUGGGAGUCUACGUUUUCGAAGGGGCUGACGCAGGGGCUAAUACGCCAAACCUCCAUACGGCGUACGUGUGAGAGCUGCGGAUCUUCGGCUAUCACGCGAGUGGAGGUCGGAUUAGCUAGUUGGUGGGGUAAAGGCCUACCAAGGCGACGAUCCGUAGCUGGUCUGAGAGGAUGAUCAGCCACACUGGAACUGAGACACGGUCCAGACUCCUACGGGAGGCAGCAGUGGGGAAUAUUGGACAAUGGGCGCAAGCCUGAUCCAGCCAUGCCGCGUGUGUGAAGAAGGCCUUCGGGUUGUAAAGCCCUUUUAGUUGGGAAGAAGGGCAGUAAGUUAAUACCUCGCUGUUCUGACGUUACCAAAAGAAUAAGCACCGGCUAACUUCGUG
rnacentral:rRNA from 1 species